AUUGAACGCUGGCGGCAUGCCUUACACAUGCAAGUCGAACGGUAACAGGUCUUCGGAUGCUGACGAGUGGCGAACGGGAGAGUAAUACAUCGGAACGUGCCCGAUCGUGGGGGAUAACGGAGCGAAAGCUUUGCUAAUACCGCAUACGAACUACGGAUGAAAGCAGGGGACCGCAAGGCCUUGCGCGGACGGAGCGGCCGAUGGCAGAUUAGGUAGUUGGUGGAUAAAAGCUUACCAAGCCGACGAUCUGUAGCUGGUCUGAGAGGACGACCAGCCACACUGGGACUGAGACACGGCCCAGACUCCUACGGGAGGCAGCAGUGGGGAAUUUUGGACAAUGGGCGCAAGCCUGAUCCAGCCAUGCCGCGUGCAGGAUGAAGGCCUUCGGGUUGUAAACUGCUUUUGUACGGAACGAAAAGACUUCUUCUAAUACAGGAGGUCCAUGACGGUACCGUAAGAAUAAGCACCGGCUAACUACGUGCCAGCCGCCGCCGUAAUAC
rnacentral:rRNA from 1 species